rnacentral:tRNA from 1 species
GGAGAUAGCUCAGUGGUAGAGUGUAUGCUUAGCAUGCACGAGGUCCUGGGUUCAACCCCUAGUCCCUCCA